rnacentral:rRNA from 1 species
AUUUGUAUGUUAUAUAUAUAUUGGGAUUGCAUCCCAUUGAAGGAAAAUUUACAAUGAUUUUGUAUAAUUGAAAUAUAGGGUAAGAUGUCCAUUUUGUGUUAUUGUUACAAAAUAACUUUUAAUGGGUCAUGGUGCUGAAAUAUCGUCCUAUAUGAUAUCAGUUUUUAUUUUAUAUACUAGAAAAUUGUAACUUUAUUUUUACCAUGUGUCAGUGUCAAGGAUCCGUAGUGUCUUUGAUUUCUAGUGUUACAACUAUACUGGGAAAUUGGGUUUUAUUUAUAUUUUUAUUCUAUAAAGCAUUAUAGAAUAAAUUAUCUUCAAAUUAGUAGAUUGGUUAAAGUUAGUAGGUGUUUAUAAUAUAAUAGGAGAACUCAGAAGCGAGAUCAAAUGUUUAUUAAAGACUUAGGGUAACAAGUAUACCUGACUUCUGCCCGAUGUACGUAUGUAUCAAUGGCAGACUUAGCGUGAGGUCAUUAAGGUAGCAAAAUCAUUUGUUUCUUUAUUGGAUUCCAGUAUGAAUGAAGGUUUGGUUAGCGUUCUUUCUUUUUUUUUUUCGAAUUUAUUAUCUAUCUAAGAAAUGAUAGGUGCAUUACUACAAAGAUAAGUCUUCGGAAACUCUGUUGGUGUAUAUUCAAUGAGUUUAUAUACUAGGUUAACUAGGGAAGUUAAUUAUAUAAUCAUCUUUUUCCUGUUUACAUAAUAAAGAGUUACUUCGGAGUUAACAGAAAUUCAUACUUGAUAUAGUGACUUAUAUUAGGGUAAGUUUUACAUCGAUGUUGUAUCUCCACAUACCGAGAAAGAAUAAGGCUUGGUAAUCCAGACUGUUCUUCUAUGAGAUAGUGGGACGUGAUAUUAGUUUAAUUCGACGCAAGUCAGAAUUGUUUAUCUUGAGUAUUGCUUAUAUAUAGUAUGUUUAGUACGAAAGGAAUUACACUAAAGUGAUCCACUAUUUU